ACGAUGGAUAGGGGUUCUGAGAGGAAGGUCCCCCACAUUGGAACUGAGACACGGUCCAAACUCCUACGGGAGGCAGCAGUGAGGAAUAUUGGUCAAUGGGCGAGAGCCUGAACCAGCCAAGUAGCGUGAAGGAUGAAGGCUCUAUGGGUCGUAAACUUCUUUUAUAUGGGAAUAAAGUUUUCCACGUGUGGAAUUUUGUAUGUACCAUAUGAAUAAGGAUCGGCUAACUCCGUGCCAGCAGCCGCGGUAAUACGGAGGAUCCGAGCGUUAUCCGGAUUUAUUGGGUUUAAAGGGAGCGUAGGUGGAUUGUUAAGUCAGUUGUGAAAGUUUGCGGCUCAACCGUAAAAUUGCAGUUGAAACUGGCAGUCUUGAGUACAGUAGAGGUGGGCGGAAUUCGUGGUGUAGCGGUGAAAUGCUUAGAUAUCACGAAGAACUCCGAUUGCGAAGGCAGCUCACUAGACUGUCACUGACACUGAUGCUCGAAAGUGUGGGUAUCAAACAGGAUUAGAUACCCUGGUAGUCCACACAGUAAACGAUGAAUACUCGCUGUUUGCGAUAUACAGUAAGCGGCCAAGCGAAAGCAUUAAGUAUUCCACCUGGGGAGUACGCCGGCAACGGUGAAACUCAAAGGAAUUGACGGGGGCCCGCACAAGCGGAGGAACAUGUGGUUUAAUUCGAUGAUACGCGAGGAACCUUACCCGGGCUUAAAUUGCAACAGAAUAUAUUGGAAACAGUAUAGCCGUAAGGCUGUUGUGAAGGUGCUGCAUGGUUGUCGUCAGCUCGUGCCGUGAGGUGUCGGCUUAAGUGCCAUAACGAGCGCAACCCUUAUCUUUAGUUACUAACAGGUUAUGCUGAGGACUCUAGAGAGACUGCCGUCGUAAGAUGUGAGGAAGGUGGGGAUGACGUCAAAUCAGCACGGCCCUUACGUCCGGGGCUACACACGUGUUACAAUGGGGGGUACAGAAGGCGGCUACCUGGUGACAGGAUGCUAAUCCCAAAAACCUCUCUCAGUUCGGAUCGAAGUCUGCAACCCGACUUCGUGAAGCUGGAUUCGCUAGUAAUCGCGCAUCAGCCAUGGCGCGGUGAAUACGUUCCCGGGCCUUGUACACCCCGCCCGUCAAGCCAUGAAAGCCGGGGGUACCUGAAGUACGUAACCGCAAGGAGCGUCCUAGGGUAAAACUGGUAAUUGGGGCUAAGUCGUAACAAGGUAGCCGUACCGGAAGGUGCGGCUGGAA
rnacentral:rRNA from 1 species